GUGUCAGCCGCCGCGGUAAAACGUAGGACACAAGCGUUAUCCGGAGUUACUGGGCGUAAAGGGCGUGUAGGCGGGUGCGUAAGUCUACUCUGAAAGCUCCUGGCUAAACUGGGAGAGGCGAGUGGAGACUGCGCGUCUAGAGUGAGGAAGAGGAAAGUGGAAUUCCGCGUGUAGUGGUGAAAUGCGUAGAGAUGCGGAGGAACACCAGUGGCGAAAGCGACUUUCUGGUCCUUAACUGACGCUGAGGCGCGAAAGCAUGGGGAGCGAACGGGAUUAGAUACCCUAGUAGUCC
rnacentral:rRNA from 1 species